AUUGAACGCUGGCGGCAGGCCUAACACAUGCAAGUCGAGCGGAAACGAAGGGAGCUUGCUCCCAGGCGUCGAGCGGCGGACGGGUGAGUAACACGUGAGAAUCUGCCCAUUAGUGGGGGGCAACUCGGGGAAACUCGAGCUAAUACAGCACAAUCCCUACGGUGGAAAGCAGGGGACCUUUUGGCCUUGCGCUGAAGGAGGUGCUAACGUCGGAUUAGCUUGUUGGUGAGGUAAAGGCUCACCAAGGCGACGAUCCGUAGCUGGUCUGAGAGGAUGAUCAGCCACACUGGGACUGAGACACGGCCCAGACUCCUACGGGAGGCAGCAGUGGGGAACCUUGGACAAUGGGGGCAACCCUGAUCCAGCCAUGCCGCGUGUGUGAAGAAGGCCUUCGGGUUGUAAAGCACUUUCAGCAGGGAGGAAGGCUUUGGCCGAAUAGGUUGAAGUACUUGACGUUACCUGCAGAAGAAGCACCGGCUAAUUUCGUGCCAGCAGCCGCGGUAA
rnacentral:rRNA from 1 species